rnacentral:rRNA from 1 species
AGAUUGAACGCUGGCGGCAUGCCUUACACAUGCAAGUCGAACGGUAGAGUAGCAAUACUUGAGAGUGGCGAACGGGUGAGUAAUACAUCGGAACGUGCCCAAUCGUGGGGGAUAACGCAGCGAAAGCUGUGCUAAUACCGCAUAAGAUCUACGGAUGAAAGCAGGGGAUCGCAAGACCUUGCGCGAAUGGAGCGGCCGAUGGCAGAUUAGGUAGUUGGUGAGGUAAAGGCUCACCAAGCCUUCGAUCUGUAGCUUGUCUGAGAGGACGACCAGCCACACUGGGACUGAGACACGGCCCAGACCUCCGUA